GAUGAACGCUAGCGGCAGGCUUAAUACAUGCAAGUCGAACGGUAACAGGUCUUCGGACGCUGACGAGUGGCGCACGGGUGAGGAACACGUACACAAUCUACCUUAUACUGGAGAAUAGCCCCGGGAAACUGGGAUUAAUACUCCAUAGUCUUUAAUGAUCACAUGAGAAAUAAAGUAAAGCUUCGGCGGUAUAAGAUGAGUGUGCGUCCCAUUAGAUUGUUGGUGAGGUAACGGCUCACCAAGUCGACGAUGGGUAGCUGGCGUGAGAGCGCGACCAGCCACACUGGCACUGAGACACGGGCCAGACUCCUACGGGAGGCAGCAGUAGGGAAUUUUGGACAAUGGGGGCAACCCUGAUCCAGCCAUGCCGCGUGAGUGAAGAAGG
rnacentral:rRNA from 1 species